rnacentral:RNase_P_RNA from 13 species
GAGGGCUGGAUGGCCGCUUUGGCAGGGCAACCUGUCCGAGAGGAAAGUCCGGACUCCCUGAAGCAACGGUGCCGGGUAACGCCCGGGCGGAGCAAUCCGACGGAAAGCGCCACAGAAAAGAAACUACCUUCGCAUUUGCGGGGGAAAAGGUGAAACGGUGGAGUAAGAGCCCACCGCGGCCCUGGCAACGGGGACGGCACGGCAAGCCCCACCGGGAGCAACGCCAAAUAGGGACCAUGCGGGGGCAGCACUGCCGCCGGGGCCGCUU